CAACUCUAGAGAUAGAGUCUUCCCCUUCGGGGGACAAAGUGACAGGUGGUGCAUGGUUGUCGUCAGCUCGUGUCGUGAGAUGUUGGGUUAAGUCCCGCAACGAGCGCAACCCUUAAGCUUAGUUGCCAGCAUUAAGUUGGGCACUCUAAGUUGACUGCCGGUGACAAACCGGAGGAAGGUGGGGAUGACGUCAAAUCAUCAUGCCCCUUAUGAUUUGGGCUACACACGUGCUACAAUGGACAAUACAAAGGGCAGCUAAACCGUGAGGUCAUGCAAAUCCCAUAAAGUUGUUCUCAGUUCGGAUUGUAGUUUGCAACUCGACUACAUGAAGCUGGAAUCGCUAGUAAUCGUAGAUCAGCAUGCUACGGUGAAUACGUUCCCGGGUCUUGUACACACCGCCCGUCACACCACGAGAGUCUGUAACACCCGAAGCCGGUGGAGUAACCAUUUAUGGAGCUAGCCGUCGAAGGUGGGACAAAUGAUUGGGGUGAAGUCGUAACAAGGUAGCCGUAUCGGAAGGUGCGGCUGGAUCACCUC
rnacentral:rRNA from 1 species